UACGGAGGGUGCGAGCGUUGUCCGGAAUCACUGGGCGUAAAGGGCGCGUAGGCGGCUCAUGAAGGCUGUGGUGAAAGUCCGGGGCUCAACCUCGGAUCGGCCGUGGCGACUCGUGGGCUGGAGCACUGUAGAGGCGGGUGGAAUUCCGGGUGUAGCGGUGGAAUGCGCAGAUAUCAGGAGGAACACCGGUGGCGAAGGCGGGUCUCUGGGCCGUUACUGACGCUGAGGAGCGAAAGCGUGGGGAGCGAACAGG
rnacentral:rRNA from 1 species